ensembl:lncRNA
UCCAUUGACAGCCUUACAUUACAAGCAGGAAACAUGAGCCAGCUUGAUUACCAACUGGGAUACUGUGUGCAUGUUUAAAAUAUUCAAAAACAUAGUACAUAAUAUGUACAGUCUUUUUAGCUGCCACCUGUCAAAGAUGUAAAUGUACAUUCAUGCUCUCCGUGCAUUAUUACUGAAAUGGAGGGUUCUUAUGCUGAAUGAUAUCUUCUGAAUUAAAUGAUUGGGGGUUAUUAGUGAUUUAGUUUUCAUUCUGUUGUUGUUAGUUGAGCUAAAAGAAAGUGUGAAUGGGUUUUCCUCUCUUUUUAACAACAUGCUUCAAGCAAUACCGUUCUUAUUUCAGCUGAAAAAAACUUGUCUGUAAAAUAGCGUGUCUAUAAUAUCACAUCUGUUACUAACCUCUAAGGAAGCCUCAACUUGUUCUUCAAGAAAUGAGCGGAAUCACUAGAAAAACCUUUUCUUUGUCCCAUUACACGUGAGCUGGAAGUAUUCCCAAAGAUCCCUCGGACUUGUGUAGUCCAGCAAUUCAUUCUCCAAACGAAUAAAGCCAGUGCAGUAAAGACAACUCGCUGCCCAGCCAUUGGAUACUCCGAUCAAACAUGUCAGAGAUUCCAGUUUGUGUCAUCAGUUUCUCCCUGCUGUUAUCCCAUCAAAAGGAAUUGAACCUGUAUGGCAUGAUGUAUUUUCAAUAGAGCCUGCUUUGGUUUUCCAUGGUUUGCUACUUGAGUCGAAUUCAGUCACGUCAGAUGUUGGACUUGGGAAAGCGCCUAUUAAGGACGGCAGUGCCAGCUGGGGAAGGUCUUGCAUCUGGCUAUGUGCUCCUGUCACCAAAGCCACUCCUAAGGCUGCACCAGGGCAGCAGUUUGCAGGGUGAUUGAAUGAACCACAUAUAGCACUGGGGAGAAAUGGAAAUCUUUUUUAAGGUCACCAGUAAUAUCACAGAGACAACACCCAGGCUGUGUGAAGACUCAUGAUUUCUGAUGAUGAUAAUAUCCCAAUGGUGGUCGGAAACAUCUAUUUGGUGUGGAUGAUGAUAACUUAUGUUCUAAUGAGAUUACUACUUCUGCCACGGGACUUGGUUUCCCAAUGGUAUGAAGAAAUGAAGAGAAUCAAUAGCAGCUGAAAUUUUGAUUCUGGGUGAUGUUGUAAAUGGGGAAGCUGGAGCAUUCCUGAAAGGCAAAACCUGAAAUGGGGAAUGAAAACAAUCUCUUCUAAUGGCAAAUAUAGCGAGUGGGAUGGAGAAAGGAAAUAAAUACUCAACCUGUUCCUGGAAUUGUUUUCAGAUUUUCAUCGUUUUGCGCUUAAUCUUAACUGACGAAGUGGAGCUGCCAGUCCUAAAUGAUUAUACAAUAAAUCAUAACACGCUGAGACAACGGUGAUCAUCGGGGCCAUAUGAGAAGUCCAACUCCUUGCCUGUUCUUGUAUUCCCUGGAAAUAGUUUGCUCUUUUAGAAUGGUUUGCCAUCAAGGGCAGUUGGAUGAGAGGUCUUCUGUUAUUCCUAGCAAAGUAUUUCUUUUCUUUUUUUUUACCCUUUGUUCAAGAUGAUUUGGUUUUGUUUCUUUUCUUGCUGCUGUUGGUGGUUGGUUUUGGAUUGGAUUGUGGGUGUUCAUAUUUCCAUAUUAUUGGGAGGAGUGUAACCUUGAAUUACCUUAUCUGAAGUAGAUAGCACAGUUAUGGAUGGCUUGUACUAAAAGACACAAAAUAUUAUAAAUUCAGAAACAUACUUCCCACUUACAUGAAUCAAUUAUCCAUACUAAUAAAGUUGUACGUCUGAUAACUUUCCUGUAAUACGAGCACUUGGUUACUGCCUCCAGGAGAAAUAUACUGGAGUUUCUGCUUAUGUAUGAUUUUGUGGAUGGGCAGUCAAAAAUACAGUACUGUGUGACAGUGAACGUUUCUUUAGGCCCUAGGAUGUUAGGCUGCUUGUAGUUGUUCAUAGGAAGGUAUUUAUCUGUAUCAGAUGUAAAAAUUAUAGAUAAUCUUUGCUGGUUUUGUUGAAGGUAUCCAAAAUUUGGCUUUAUUUCUCCACGUGUUGAAUCUUGCACAUUCUUAAGGAGGUGCCUGUAUUACGGGUGCUGUCUCUGAAGCUGUAUGUGGGUAGUGAAGUAUGUGGGUAGGUGGCAGGUGAAAAAAACGUGCAUUCAAAUAAUUUUACAAGGCCCUUUUUCUGCACCGGUGUUGCUAAGUUUAUAUGUUGAAGUACUCUUCAUUGAAGCACUGAAUGUUUAAUAUCAAAUAAACUACCAAACUUCCACCUGUGGGAGGUGAUAUAAUCCCAGCUGCUAAAAUAGUUUACCAUUUCUUAAAACAGAGUUUUGGCUGCCAGAAACCUGUUUGAAAUAAGUUUUUUAAUACUGAUUUACAUUAUGCUAAUGCGCAGAGUCUCCGGUCUUUGAAAUAGGAAUAUUGUUUGGUUUUCCUACUUUUCUUCUAUAGUUAGAUCUUAAGGCUAAUGAAAGCCUUAAUGUUAAAGGCGAGAUUUUAAAUUCUACUACUGUAGUGUAUUCUUAUGGAGCGUAAAGUGAAGAGCAAUGCAUGUGGUACUAACACCAUAGCACUGGCUCUGGGAGGCAUCCUGCACUGCAGUCCUGGAUGGCAGCUAAAAACACACUGCUGGGCUGGGUGAGGGAAAAAGCUCUUCUCUUCAUUCUGCUCAAAAAUAACAGUUCAGUGCAUGGGAAAGAUGUGAAGAUGGCAAUGAUAAUGUUAAGACAACAGUGACAACUGACAAGGUCUUUGAUGAGCAGGCAAUUGUUAAAAUAAUGUUCUUUCAACAGAAAGUCGGUAUUUCAUGAAAGGUAAUUCCUUAGUGGGUAAAAUCAUGCUUAGUGCAUUUGUUGGUAUGCCCACAGAUCUGGCUCAAUUGCUUUGCAUCCCUUUGAAGUGUAAUGGAAUAACUUUCCCCCUGCCCCUUCCAACCUCCUAAUACCCACCCCCCAAAAAAGAAAAACAGGCAGAAAAAAAGUUAAAACAAUUAUUUGACUUCUUUUGCACGGUGAUGCACCUUCAGUAGACCUACAAAAACUGUGCAGUUUGGUCUGUUGUCUAUAGUGGUACUGUAAAGGAUUCUAAGCUGAACAUGGGAUAAUCAGAAUUUCUCUAGACAGAGAGGCUUCAACUGUUUUACAUCAUGAUGAGUGAUUAAUUCCUACACUGCUCUGUAGUUUAGCAAGGGUGGGACCAAGGCUUGAAAAUUGCCCUGGAUUCUGCACCUUAUUUUUAGACAGAUUUCCUGCCUACCAGUCAUCUGGUCAUCUUAACUCUUUUUCAUUUGACCAAAGCUAAAACUGAGUUAUAUGAUAGAAGUAUUCCAUUUUGUAUACAGAAAACGUAAUGGAGAUGGAGAUGUUUUAAAAUACAUUGUUUUACUUGCAGUGCACAGCUUUUCUAAUAUAAACCACCCAAGGGGUGCUGAAAGACUUACUAGUACAUAUUUCUGUAAGAUCACUAUUUCACCGAGGAGAGCAAAGAUCAUUUUUCGAGCAAAUAUCAGCAAAAUAUCUAGCAAAUAUCAGCAGAACUUUCAUUUGAUUGAUGCAAUAUUUGAAUCUUGUGUAUUUUUUCCCAUCUGAUAUUAGAUAGCAAAACGGGGCUUAUAGGUUAGAACAGUACCAGCUGUUUUGCGUUAGCAAAGCCAACUAGGGAAAAAAAGAAUAACAUUUUGAUAUAUAUAUAUAUGUGUGUAUAUAUUUGUUGUUGUUGUUGUUGUUACAAUAGCCUGGUUAAAAUGAACUUUCUGAAAAAUAUAAAAACAUAUGAAUGAUGUCCAGGUGGCAGAAAAAACUAUGUAAAAUACUUCAUAAAACUUGGUAGAUUUUAAAAACACAUUCAAACUAAAGCAUGCCAGAAAACUGUGCUUAUAGAAAACAUACAUAUCACGCUACAUUUGAAGAAAGAAAUAUUUCAGUAGGACAAAAAAAUGUAUAUCUGAAAUGCUACCUAUCUGCAAAACGGUGGGUUAAAUGAAAGAAACGUAACGCCGAUGGUAUUUUAUCCAUUUGGCCACACUUUUCCUUCUGCAAUUGAUUUGGUUUGGGUACUUAGUACCCAGUUCGGCUAUCCAUGGAGCUCAAGUAGAAAUGUCGGAGGAGUAGCUGGCUAUCCAGCGGGCUUUCACGUGAUGGAUGUUGCCAAGGAAACCACUCCCUUGGUAGCCAUGCAGCAAGCACGUCCGCCUCUUCAAGCUCACACAGAAGUGUCAGUCUAUCAGUUGGAGGAAGGAAAGCAAAACAGCUGUAGAGAAAACUUAGUAGGAAGAACUCGUUUAAAUGGCUGGGUGCCAUAGAUGUAGAAGUUAGGAGGUUCUUCUUGAGGGUCCCCGCAAAGGGACAACGGUAUGUGUUGGGAAGGGCUCUCUCAGCAGCACGCUAAUGGCUUUGGAUGGAGUUACACUGAUGUUCUCCUCCAUGGACACAGAUUUCAAUCACAUGUACGUGAUUCAGGCUCCAAAGCAAAGUGGAAAUCACAAGGCUGUGGCUGUUUCAAGAGCUACCCAAACACUCUUCUGAAGGGCAAUAACCCCACACUCAGUACAAGCAGACUUCCAAAGUGCAGGUGUCCCUUAAAAUGCGUUUUAGCGGAUGGUACGACCUUAUCCAUAAAGUUUGGGAAGGGGUUUUUUUUCCAUCACAAUGCACCAUUAGAACCAAUGUGUUGCCAGUGAUCUCUUGAGGUCCCUUCCAGCCCCUGCAAUUCUGUUUGUGUGAGAACUCUCAGAAAGAAACUGAAAGUGCUAUGUUUGGGGCUACCAGACAUAUUUGAACUUGCUUCUGAUCUAGCAGUUGUGCCACUGGUUUCAAAUGCCCAUCGGGUGUCCUUCACGAGGGGUGAAAUGUCACAAGAGUUAGCAUUAUUUAAACCUAAGGAGUUUUGAAGCUGAGAUCGGUUACUUGGUUAAGUACUUUAGUAGCAGUUUCCAUUAAGAAUAUAAAUAGAGAUGAAUUUAUCACUCGUGAGCACAUUUCUUCCUCUCUGAAAGCAUCUGCCUAGCAGCUGGUCUGAGGCCAAGUUCUUAGUUCUCCAGUAUCAAAGGAGCUGUUAAUAUUUCAUAUUUUGUACAGUUGACUCAAAUGAUUCAUAUCUUAUGUUUUUUGUCUUGUAUGGAUCACUAGAUGCCUGCUUGUUGCAAAUUACCUAGAGAGCAGGUCAGAAGCAGUAAUAGAGCUCUCGUGUCAGACUCAAAGCUUUGUUUUUGACCUCAUUAUCUCACCAAACUCCUCACUGGAAAGCUUCCUGUGCCCAUGUUUCAAACCUUCUUGCUCUAGAAAUCCUCACAAAAGGCAAAAAAAAAAAAAAAAAAAAAAAAAAAGGAGAUCCACUAAGCACUUCACUGCCAAGGUCCUAUGAGAAGGUGGUGAUUUAGGAAUACGAGGGUUCUUGGGAUAGUAAUUAGGAGACCAAAAUGGUUUUCCAUAAGUUGUUUCUCUUUCUUCACGUGCUUUCAUUUAUUCACUUGCACAUAAUGCAUGUAGAAGAUAGGAAAAUGAUUCAUGUGUCUGUGCUGUACUGGAGUUACUUAAGGUAAGUAAUUGAAGAAUAUUAACUUCCUUAUUUUGGUUUAAUUCUAGUUUUGAUAGCUAAGCUGCACUCUUAAAAAUCCCUUGGCAAUUCCAAAUGAUUCAUCUGUCUCUUCCUUCUCAGUACCUUCCUACAUGUCAUUGUUGUGUAUAGGAAACUGUAGCUCAUUCUCCCAUGAGGGGCUGAAAAUGAUUCCUGUAAGCCAUGUACUUAGCAAAUCCAUCUGUAAAAUGCAUUUGAAGAGCUCAUGAAUAUGUUGAGGGUACCCUACAAAUGGAAGGUUAUUCAUUUAGUGAGAGUUUAGUUACACAUUUUCUUUAGAUGUCCUUCCUUGGAAAUUAACCAGUACAGUAUGAAAGGAAAAAAGUCUGAAUUGGUGUCUGUUACUUUGAUAUAUUCAUAGAAAUACUGAUAAUUGUGUGGAUUAGCAUGAUAUUCUCACGGUAUGCCAUUUCUUGAAUGAUGCUAAUAUUCUCAUGAAUGAUGUUCAGUGCAUAUAGGAGGGCCCCAACAGUAAAUAUAGUUGUUUUAUUUUUCUGUCUAUAUAUGAAUAUUACAUUUUACAUUGCGUUGUAGCCUUACUGUUUUUUAAAUACUUGUACACUGUAGUGCAUAUAUUGAAUAUAUAUUUUUUGAAAUAUAAUUUGAGUAUGAUAAAUUAUAAAUUCAAGAAAUAACAAUGUUUAUAGCCUACUCAGAUUUCCAAAAUUUGUUUCGUAUUAGUUGAAUACAAAUUAAAUUUUGAAAUGAUGGUAAUUUACUGAUAUACCUAUUUACACAGACAAAUGUUAAAACGGACUAAGAAAUUGCCUUUCAGAUUUUGAGUCUCUAUUUUCUUUAAAAAGGAAAGGAAAAAGGAAAGGCAAGGCCAGUGCAAAUAAAAUGUACUUUUUUUUUCUUGUCCUCAUUAUGUUUCCAUUUUCCUUUCUAUUCCUAUUAUGAGCUCUGCUUCUUGGAUCUAUUUUCUGUUGCACAUAGGCAUUCCCUAUGAAUGUGAAGUGUUAAUCAGUGUCAUGCUUUUCACUUGUAAAUAAAAUUGCCCCUUCAAUCAAAUUGUCCCUUCAGCAUACUGUUCGUUAGACAAUGUGCAAUUAAUUCAGCAAGAGUUGAUCUAAAACUUGCCCACCUUGACAUUCAGUUCGUUUUGUUCUCAUCAAUUAAUGUGUUGGUUGAUAAACUACUCCUGCAAGCCACUGCUGGUUUAUAGCAAGCCUAAAUGUGAAGAAACCUGCCCGGAAGAUACUCAGGGAAAAGGGAGCUUCCUUUGCAGGACUGGUAUUUUAUCUCUUCCUUCACUUUAUUAGGCACCUCUGUACCACCAGUAACCAUUGCAGAGCUCAGAAUGCUCAACGGCCUUAACAGAUCCAGGACUUAACUUGCUUCAUGCCUACAUAAGAGUCUCUGUGUUGAAAUAAAAUAUACUCAGCUCUCCAGUUUCUGUGUUAUAAACAGCUUCAGCUCACCUUGAAUUAGUCAUGCUGAAAUCAUCCACAGGGUUACUUGCCUAUACAAUGUGCAGAAAUUAGCCUGAAUUGUUAAGUAGGCAUUUACUAAUUCAGUUUCAUAUUAGUCGUAGAUGUAAUUCACUCCUAAGGGUUGGUGAUGCUUCUUGUGUUAUUUAAGAAAACUCAUUGUCUGCAGUUGUCUGUAUAGUUAUUCAGCAGCAGCUAAGAUGUGCCUGUAUAGCUCAGCAUGUAUCCCAUUUUUGUUCUAAAUGAAAACUAUUUGAGUGUAGUAUCUCUAGGCCAUAUUAUUUCCAACACUGCUUUUUAAUACCUAGGUAAAUGCAGAUGACAACCUGUCCAAAUGUCCAGGAGAUGUGUUAGACUGCUCUUUUGUAUCAAUUAAUAGACUUGUAGAAUCACGGAACCGUUAAUGUUGGAAAGAAUCAUCCAG